rnacentral:rRNA from 1 species
GAGUUUGAUCCUGGCUCAGAAUGAACGUUGGCGGCGUGGAUUAGGCAUGCAAGUCGUACGGGCCGCAAGGCCAGUGGCGCAAGGGUGAGUAAGGCGACGGUAACCAACCCCGUGACUGGGUAUAGCCGUGGGAAACCGCGGGUAAUCCCCAGCGACGUCCGGGAGGGGCAUCCCUCCGGGACCAAAGCUCCGGCGUCGCGGGACGGGCCGUCGUGCUAUUAGCUUGUUGGCGGGGUGACGGCCCACCAAGGCUGUGAUGGCUACCGGGCGUGCGAGCGUGGCCCGGCACACUGGGACUGAGACACUGCCCAGACUCCUACGGGAGGCUGCAGUCGGGAAUCUUCGGCAAUGGGCGCAAGCCUGACCGAGCGACGCCGCGUGGAGGACGAAGGCCUUCGGGUUGUAAACUCCUGUCGAGGGGGAAGAAGGCCGGGAAACCGGCUUGACUUAUCCCUGGAGGAAGCACGGGCUAAGUUCGUGCCAGCAGCCGCGGUAAGACGAACCGUGCGAACGUUAUUCGGAAUCACUGGGCUUAAAGCGCGUGUGGGCGGAACGGCACGUCGGUCGCUGAAAUCCCCCGGCUCAACCGGGGAACGGGCGCCGAUACGACCGUUCUGGAGGAACGUAGGGGGACCUGGAACUUCCGGUGGAGCGGUGAA